rnacentral:rRNA from 1 species
UACGAAGGGGGCUAGCGUUGCUCGGAAUCACUGGGCGUAAAGGGUGCGUAGGCGGGUCUUUUAAGUCAGGGGUGAAAUCCUGGAGCUCAACUCCAGAACUGCCUUUGAUACUGAAGAUCUUGAGUUCGGGAGAGGUGAGUGGAACUGCGAGUGUAGAGGUGAAAUUCGUAGAUAUUCGCAAGAACACCAGUGGCGAAGGCGGCUCACUGGCCCGAUACUGACGCUGAGGCACGAAAGCGAU